GUGCCAGUUAUUAUAGUACAUAUACUAAAAUUGGCAUAAUAUAGAGAAAAUUAGCAUGACUUAUGUAAAAUAAUUACAUGAAAAUUGAUGAAAUGUAUCACAUUUCU